GCCGACGUAGCUCAGUUGGUAGAGCAACAGUUUUGUAAACUGUAGGUCGUCGGUUCGAAUCCGACCGUCGGCU
rnacentral:tRNA from 1 species